rnacentral:rRNA from 1 species
UGGGCGUAAAGCGAGCGCAGACGGUUACUUAAGCAGGAUGUGAAAUCCCCGGGCUCAACCUGGGAACUGCGUUCUGAACUGGGUGACUAGAGUGUGUCAGAGGGAGGUAGAAUUCCACGUGUAGCAGUGAAAUGCGUAGAGAUGUGGAGGAAUACCGAUGGCGAAGGCAGCCUCCUGGGAUAACACUGACGUUCAUGCUCGAAAGCGUGGGUAGCAAACAGGAUUAGAUACCCUGGUAGUCCACGCCCUAAACGAUGUCAAUUAGCUGUUGGGCAACUUGAUUGCUUAGUAGCAUAGCUAACGCGUGAAAUUGACCGCCUGGGGAGUACGGUCGCAAGAUUAAAACUCAAAGGAAUUGACGGGGACCCGCACAAGCGGUGGAUGAUGUGGAUUAAUUCGAUGCAACGCGAAGAACCUUACCUGGUCUUGACAUGUACGGAAUCCUCCAGAGACGGAGGAGUGCCUUCGGGAGCCGUAACACAGGUGCUGCAUGGCUGUCGUCAGCUCGUGUCGUGAG